AAAAGGGUAAAUCGCCCUAUGUGCUAAGAUUAGAAGAAAAGCCUUAAGUUUGUCAAAGUUUAAAACCAAACCCGCUAGACUCUUAAAUCGUUUCAAGAGAACCCCUUAGAACAUGAACCAAAAAGAGAUAAAGAAUGAGAAAAAGGGUAGAGUUAGGACAUCUAUGGGAAUGGGAUCAUCUUCUGAGCUAUCAUAUUAUAUCAUUGGGUAGAUGGGAGUGUUCUUGUAUGUGUCCGUUGGCUUUUACCUUUUGCAUUUUACUAAAGCUCAAUCUUUUCUCUGAGAGUCCCCUGUUACUCGACCAAACCAUUAAAGGGACCAUUUUUGUCUCUUGGCCUAAGUCCAAAACCAAGUGAGUUCAUAACCAUUGCAUUGCUUGAUCCACUGUUCGUGCUUAAUGAAUGUUAAAGGGAAUUGGUUGAUGUGAAUGCUUGAAUAGAUUAAGGCAAGUCGUUAGGUUACAUUGUCACGAGUAUGGCUAGCGUUUUUGAGUAAGGGUCUAUCAUCUUGCAACCUAGAAUUUGCUACCUGGACAUUGAGCUUACCCAUUUUAUAUGCAUGCUUCGGUUUUUGAAUCCCCACAUUCAAACCUCUCCUUCAACUUAAGGUU
rnacentral:sRNA from 1 species